rnacentral:snRNA from 1 species
UUACCUACCUGGCAGGGGAGAUACCAUGAUCAUGACAGUGGUUUUCCCAGGGCGAGGCUGAUUCAUUGCACUCUGGAUGUGCUGACCCCUGAGACUUCCCCAAAUGUGGGAAACUUGACUGCAUAAUUUGUGGUAGUGGGGGACUGCGUUCGCGCUCUCCCCUG